AUCUACGGAGAGUUUGAUCCUGGCUCAGGACGAACGCUGGCGGCGUGCUUAACACAUGCAAGUCGAACGGUGAACCUGCUUCGGUGGGGGAUCAGUGGCGAACGGGUGAGUAACACGUGGGCAACCUGCCCCCGGCUCUGGGAUAACUCCAAGAAAUUGGGGCUAAUACCGGAUGUGACCGCUGACCGCAUGGUCUGGUGGUGGAAAGGGUUUCCGGCUGGGGAUGGGCCCGCGGCCUAUCAGCUUGUUGGUGGGGUAGUGGCC
rnacentral:rRNA from 1 species